UUGCUUCACUUUCAUGUCCAGAGCUGCUUAGACUGAUUUCUGCAAAGUGCACAGGCAUUUUCAUGCUGAGGAUAAAGGACCAUGAUCGCUUGUCUGGACCCAGAAAAUAUUUCCCAUUUGCUACACAGAUGCCGUCUCAUCCUUCCAGAGUUCAAGACUUCAGCAGAAAAAAAAAUCACCUCAUUAAAGGAAAAUUGUGCCUUAUCCCCACUACUCGAAGAUGCAACCAUCUGCCUGGUCACAGCCACUUUUUUCCUUUUUUUCUCACUCCAUCGUAUGUGUGUGUGGUGGGGCAGGGGAUAAGGGGAAUAAUCUCUCUCCAGUAUAAGAAGGAGAUAGAAGUUCAUGAAGCAGAAGCACAACAGGUGGUGGUUUGUCCUUUAAGCAAGUACUCAAUAAUUAAGGCUGAUCUCUUUGACUCUUCACUGGGAGCAGAAAAAGAAAGAGAGAUGCUGAAGAUGGAAGAAUGGACACAAUAG
rnacentral:lncRNA from 10 species